rnacentral:rRNA from 1 species
CGUGUAGGCGGUUCGGCAAGUCAGGGGUGAAAUGUCUCGGCUCAACCGAGGACGUGCCUUUGAAACUGCCGGACUUGAGGCCGUGAGAGGAGACUGGAAUUCCUAGUGUAGCGGUGAAAUGCAUAGAUAUUAGGAAGAACACCAGUGGCGAAGGCGAGUCUCUGGCACGGUUCUGACGCUGAGGCGCGAAAGCUAGGGGAGCGAACG